GAUGAACGCUAGCUACAGGCUUAACACAUGCAAGUCGAGGGGUAACGAGAGGAAAGCUUGCUUUCCUUGUCGACGACCGGCGCACGGGUGAGUAACGCGUAUCCAACCUGCCCCCAACUAAGGAAUAACCUUGCGAAAGUAAGACUAAUACCUUAUAAUUUCCUCAGAUGUCAUCUGACGAGGAAUAAAGAUUUAUCGGUUGUGGAUGGGGAUGCGUCUGAUUAGCGUGUUGGCGGGGUAACGGCCCACCAAGGCAACGAUCAGUAGGGGUUCGUAGAUGAAGUUCCCCCACAUUGGAACUGAGACACGGUCCAAACUCCUACGGGAGGCAGCAGUGCGGAAUAUUGGUCAAUGGGCGGAAGCCUGAACCAGCCAAGUAGCGUGCAGUAUGACGGCCCUAUGGGUUGUAAACUGCUUUUAUACAGGAAUAAAGUUAGCCACGUGUGGUUAUUUGUAGGUACUGUAUGAAUAAGGACCGGCUAAUUCCGUGCCAGCCGCCGCCGUAA
rnacentral:rRNA from 1 species